UACGUAGGGGGCAAGCGUUGUCCGGAUUUAUUGGGCGUAAAGCGCGUGUAGGCGGCCAGAUAGGUCUGCUGUGAAAACUCGAGGCUCAACCUCGAGCUGUCGGCGGAAACCAUCUGGCUAGAGUCCGGAAGAGGAGAGUGGAAUUCCUGGUGUAGCGGUGAAAUGCGCAGAUAUCAGGAAGAACACCUAUGGCGAAGGCAGCUCUCUGGGACGGUACUGACGUUGAGACGCGAAAGCGUGGGGAGCGAACAGG
rnacentral:rRNA from 1 species